ACUCCUACGGGAGGCAGCAGUGGGGAAUAUUGGACAAUGGGCGCAAGCCUGAUCCAGCCAUGCCGCGUGAGUGAUGAAGGCCCUAGGGUUGUAAAGCUCUUUCACCGGUGAAGAUAAUGACGGUAACCGGAGAAGAAGCCCCGGCUAACUUCGUGCCAGCAGCCGCGGUAAUACGAAGGGGGCUAGCGUUGUUCGGAUUUACUGGGCGUAAAGCGCACGUAGGCGGACUAUUAAGUCAGGGGUGAAAUCCCGGGGCUCAACCCCGGAACUGCCUUUGAUACUGGUAGUCUUGAGUUCGAGAGAGGUGAGUGGAAUUCCGAGUGUAGAGGUGAAAUUCGUAGAUAUUCGGAGGAACACCAGUGGCGAAGGCGGCUCACUGGCUCGAUACUGACGCUGAGGUGCGAAAGCGUGGGGAGCAAACAGGAUUAGAAACCCCGGUAGUCCCAUG
rnacentral:rRNA from 1 species